rnacentral:tmRNA from 1 species
GGGGAUGACCGGUUUUGACAGCGUGUAGAAGUGGUGUGUAAGCAUGCAGAGAAAUGAUGCCUACUCUCUUUAAACAGGGACAUCGACUUUUUUAAAUGGCGAAUCAAAUUACGCUCUCGCUGCUUGAUUGAAGUACAGUAGAUCGGCUUAAUCCCUGCCUGGAUGGUGGGGACGAGACGUCGCCCGAUUGUUGUUUUUCCGAGACUAAUCGAACAGGCGGCGCACGGAAAUCGGGAAUAGUACGCCGAAAGCCUCGCGAAGCGUCACGAAAAUUCAGAGGAUAAGGGUGCGAUUGGUGGCAUUGAGCCUGUCGCAUCACUAAAACCAAGUCAAGGCUAAGCAUGUAGAAAGCACAUUAGUUCCGCGUUUGGACGAGGGUUCGAAUCCCUCCAUCUCCACA